rnacentral:rRNA from 1 species
GUAUCAGUACAAACCUUCAUAAGGUGAAACCGCGAACGGCUCAUUAUAACAGCUAUAAUUUACUAGACCUUGAGCAACUACUUGGAUACCUGUGGUAAUUCUAGAGCUAAUACAUGCACCGAAGUUGUUCCUUGCGGAGCAAUGCAUUUAUUUGAGCAAAACCAGGCGGCUUCGGCCGUUUCUGUUGAUUCAGAAUAACUAAGCUGAUCGCAUGGGCUUGUCCCGGCGACGUGUCUUUCAAGUGUCUGCCUUAUCAACUUUCGAUGGUAGUGUACGUGACUACCAUGGUGUUGACGGGUAACGGAGGAUAAGGGUUCGACUCCGGAGAAGGGGCCUGAGAAAUGGCCACUACGUCUAAGGAUGGCAGCAGGCGCGCAAAUUACCCACUCUCGGUUCGAGGAGGUAGUGACGAAAAAUAACAAGGCCGUUCUCUUUGAGGCCGGCCAUUGGAAUGGGUACAACUUAAACCCUUUAACGAGUAUCAAUGAGAGGGCAAGUCUGGUGCCAGCAGCCGCGGUAAUUCCAGCUCUCAAAAUGCAUAGAACCAUUGCUGCGGUUAAAAAGCUCGUAGUUGGAUCUGUGCCGGCGACGUGGUCCGCCCUAACCGGCGGUACUGCGCUCGUCGGCUUUGGGCCGGUCUUCGGUCGGUCGCCUUAACUGGCGGCCGCUCGUGGCUGGCUGGUUUACUUUGAGCAAAUCAGAGUGCUCAGCACAGGCGUCUCGCCGGAAUGUUCGUGCAUGGAAUAAUAGAAAAGGAUUUCGGUUCUCUUUUAUUGGUUUUGUGAACUGAGAUAAUGGUUAACAGAGACGGACGGGGGCAUUCGUAUUGCUGCGUGAGAGGUGAAAUUCUUGGACCGCAGCAGGACGGACUACAGCG